ensembl:lncRNA
AUGGGGAUCCCACGGGAAUGGGGAUCCCAUGGGAAUAGGGAUCCCUUGGGAAUGGGGGGUCUCAGAAUCACAGGGAUCCCACAGGAACAGGGAUCCCUUGGGAAUGGGGGUCCCACAGGAACGGGGAUCCCAUGGGAAUGGGGGUCCCAGAGCCACGGCGGGCGGGUGUUCCCGAUGUCCCCGGAGCUGCCGCUGAGUGGGGGCCCUGCCCCAUCCCCCGAGCACCCCAAAUCCGCCCGCGGGGAGCGAUCCCUGCUGGGCUGGGGAGGGCUCAGGGAUUGUCCCGGGGUUCCCCCCGAGGGAGGGCUCGGGGAUUGUCCCGGGGUUCCCCCCCGAGGGAGGGCUCAGGGAUUGUCCCGGGGUUCCCCCCGAGGGAGGGCUCAGGGAUUGUCCUGGGGUUCCCCCGGGAGGGCUCAGGGAUUGUCCCGGGGUUCCCCAGGGAGGGCUCAGGGAUUGUCCUGGGGUUCCCCCGGGCCGGGGAGGGGGUCUGGGGGGGCUGCCGGGGGUCUAGGCCCCGUAGUGGGGGUGCAGGUUGUCAAUGACGGACUUGACGAAGUCGGAAGUGGUGGAGUAACCGCCCAAAUCCCGAGUCCGGACCUGCAAAUCCAACAGAGGGAGGGGAAAAACGGGAGAAAGGAGCUGUGAACGCAGGGAAUGGGCUGGGAGAGGGACAGGAGAGAGAGAGAGAGACAGCAGACACCCUGAGAGCCCUGCCAGGACCUGGGGGAAUGGGGAAGGUCCCUGAGAACCCUGCCAGGACCUGGGGGGAAUGGGGAACAUCCCUGAGAGCCCUGCCAGGACCUGGGGGGAAUGGGGAACGUCCCUGAGAGCCCUGCCAGGACCUGGGGGGAGAAUGGGGCUGGUCCCUGAGCCCUGCCAGGACCCAAACGAGGACAGGGCCAUGGAGGAUCCUCCAGCCCUGCCCCAAGUCCCUCCCUCGCCGGGACAUGGCCACAGGGGCUGGACACAGCCGUGGGUGUGGGAGUGGAGCUGGAGAGAGAGAGGAGCCCCAGGAUUCCAGCUGGAAAGAGGAGAGGAUCCCCAGAAUUCCAGCUGGAGAGAGGAGCCAGAAUUCCAGCUGGAAAGAGGAGAGGAGCCCCAGAAUUCCAGCUGGAGAGAGGAGCCAGAAUUCCAGCU